GACGAACGCUGGCGGCGUGCCUAAUACAUGCAAGUCGAACGCUGAAGGAGGAGCUUGCUUCUCUGGAUGAGUUGCGAACGGGUGAGUAACGCGUAGGUAACCUGCCUUGUAGUGUGGGAUAACUAUUGGAAACGAUAGCUAAUACCGCAUAAGAGUAGAUGUUGCAUGAUAUUUGUUUAAAAGGUUUAAUUGCAUCACUACCACAUGGACCUGCGUUGUAUUAGCUAGUUGUUGGGGUAUCGCCGUACCAAGGCGAGGAUACGUACCAGCCCUGUGAGGGUGAGCGGCCACACUGAGACUGAGACACGGCCCAGAGUCAUAGGGGUGGGAGCAGUAGGGAUUCUUCGGCAAGGAGCGGAAGUCAGAGCAAGAAAGGCCGCAUGAGUGAAGAGGAUUGUCGGGUCGUAAAGCACGGUUGUCAGAGAAGAAAGAGUGUGAGAGUGGAAAGUUCACACUGUGACGGUAUCUGACAAGAAAGGAACGGCUAACUACGUG
rnacentral:rRNA from 1 species